AGCAGUGCAAUAAGAUGGUCCAGUAUCCUCCCAGAUGAAAAUUUGUGGAGCUCCAUGGACGAUGGACUCUCCUGGGGCUUGCCCAUCCAUGACAUGCUAUUGCCCAAAAACCAGUCUGUUGGAGAAACCUAUGGAUUAAAUGAUUUGUUACAUCAAAUGGCCUCAUUUCAAUAGGUCUUUUCAUUUAAGAGGCACGAAGAAAAAGAUUCUGCCAUUUACAUAACUUGAACAUAAGAUAAACACUGUUAUCCUUUGAGAUGCACCAUCCACAUGUUCUUGUUGUUCUAUAAAGCUAAAAACGGAAAUAUGCGCAUAAACACCAGAGCUGCUUGGACUCUCUUAAGGUAUUCUUUCUUAAGGUAGACUUGUUAAUGUUAUUUCCUUUGAACAGCUGAUUUUUCUCUGGCCCCGUCAGAAACUGCUUUUGAAACCUCCCCUUCAUGGA